rnacentral:RNase_P_RNA from 1 species
UAGGUACAGCAGAUAGUGACUUGGCUUAUGCUCAAGAGGAAAGUCCGAGCUGCUAUAAGACAGUGUUCCAUUUAACUAAUGGCCGUAGUAAUACGAGGGAAAGUGCAACAGAGAGUAGACAUCUACUAUUAGCCGAUAUUUGAGCAAAAGCCCAACUAUCUUUCGCUAGCCGCUAAGGCACUAAAGCAUAAAAAUGCUAUCGGCAUUUUUUUAACUUUUAGCGAGCUAAAAGUAGUUAAGGUGAAAGGGUGGAGUAAGAGCCCACCAGUCUUUAUGGCAACAUAGAGAGCUUGUAAACCCAACAUGGCAGCAAGAAACAGGUGGUCAGCGUCUUAUAAUGCUACUGUUUCGCUAGAGAUACUAUGUAAAUAGUAAAGUAGAUUAAUACUAUCAAAACAAAACUCGGCUUAUAGCUGUACCUAUCUC